UGCUAAUGCCAUGCUAAUUAAUAACCUGAACAAGCCCCAGCGGGAGCUGGUUUUGGGCUCUCCAAGGGAGGGUGUGGCAGGUGAGUGGGCUGAACCCCGUGCAGCUCGGGUCCUGACUCAUCUCUGACGCUGCAGGUGCAGAGCUCGCACCCUCAGGGCUCUUAGGGGCGCUGCCUUUGUUAGGAGGAAAAAGAGCAGAGAUGUGGGUCCUGAUUCCCUGGGCCUACGCGGGAGAGCAGCUGCCAACUGUGAGCUGGCCCCUGGGACCCAGGCUCUCUCCGCCAGGAUACAGCUAUUUUUCUGGUGUUUGUUCUCUGUAGGGCCUGACCCGAACCCUGCCUCUCGCAAGAAUGCAUGGAAUCCUACCCUUUAGAUGCUGUCUUUGGAUGUCUUGGAAAAAUCCUCCAGUUAUUAUUGCCUCUUAAAUAUCUCGUCUAGGUUUGAUGAUUCUCUCUGAAGCCAACCCACUCGCCAUGACUGCUUGCAGCUGGGCUCUUCUGAAAUGUUGUGAAGCUUAAGUUCUUCAUAUUCCACUAUUUUGAAGGUGGUAUCUGGCACAUAGAAGGAAUUCAGAAAUACUGAAUGAAGGAGCACCUGUUAUGUACCCAGAAUUGAGCAAGGAGCUAGCGAUACAGAAUAGAGGUGAGAUGUGCCUUUCACCUUCCACCAUGAUUGUGAGGCCUCCCCAGCCACGUGGAACUG